rnacentral:lncRNA from 1 species
CGGAUGUUCACAGUGAGAAUGACUGUUUGUGGCGAGAAGUCACAGUCAGGUCAGCCCCUCGGUGACAGCACAGCUGUCUCCAGCGCUCAGCUGGCGUCCCGUCCCUCACCGUGUCCCCAUCUGUCAGGCUGAUUCUCCCGUGCAUGUGUGUGCGUACAAUUUCACCCUAACCGUCUGUGGCUGCCUUCAGUUUUGCACUGUAAUUUGGCCGACCAUUGCUUUUUUUAAUCUCCUAAACAAACGGUGGGCUUCACAGUGGCUCCUAUGUCUUGGCUCCAGAGUGCAGCCACGGAAUGUCACGGUGCGUGCUGGAGCCUUCCUGCUGGCUGCAUUCAAUAGCUACUGACAGACCAGCUCCAGACUCUUCCAGAAGGAAAAUUAGUCUGGAAGGAAUCACUCAGUCUGCACCUUACGAGCCACAAAACACCAAUGGUCUCCAAAUCGUCGGGUGUUAUGUAAGUCAGUGAGCCAAGCAUUUGGAAUUCUACAGAAAUGGUCUCAGCUGCCGCUUCCGCCCUAGUCCAGCCGUUAUAUAACCAACGUCCAUGGCACUGUUGAGCUGUUGUAGAUUUCAGAUGAAUUACCACACAGCAGCGUGGGUUAUCCACUGUCCCUAGACUUGCAGUGCAGACGAAGCCUAUGGGCGCUUGGCAGCUCACCUAGACUUGGGGUCAGCCUCCUCUGGGCCAGUGGAUUUUGUCCUGAACUGACCCCAGCCUGAGGGCAGGUGAAGCCUGGAAGGACCUGCCCGGGAGGGAGGCUCUGUGUCCAGCGGGAGGAGACUCCGGGGCCUCCGCUCCAGGAAAGUGCCCUCGUCUUGCAGCUGUGCCCACUCUUCAGAGGGAUCAGGAAGCACAGCAAGCACAGGGCCCUGCAGGCAGGCAGCUGGGGCAGAGUGGGACACGGGCCUGCGUGUGCCCGUACUGGAGCAGGAGUGGGGGCUGGGAGAAGAGGUGGUCCCACGGGGCUGCCCACCCACAUUCUGAGGGCGUGGCACUGGAAUUGUGCUUGCCGCCUGCUUCCUUACCUGCCGGGCUUCAGACUCGCGUGCAUAUGCAGUGAUGGGGCUGCUCCUGCCGGGACCACUUCGAUGGCAUAGUAGGGAGGGCUGAGACCCAAGAGACUAAGAAGUGGAGUCAGACCAAGGGCAUGAGAAGAGGGGACCAACCACAGGGGCAGGGUGCGGGCCGGCCAGGGCUCCUGUGGCUGCACCAGUGGCCAGGCAAGUGGCCUGUGUCGUGUCCUGGACACGGAGAGGCAACAGGCGGGCUGCGGAUGAGGCUCGGGCCAGGAAGCUGGAUUUGGGGUGCCCGAAUUUGAGCCACCCAGCACUGAGACCAGUGUUGUACGGAGUCCACCAGCCAAGAUGGCAUCGAGACACUGGGCCUCAGCCCUCCCAGCCUCUGAGCCGCUGCCUCCUCACGAGUGACAGCCUUCAGUUCACCAACUGUGGGGAGCCGGGGCAGAGCUGUCUCCUGCUUCCCCCGGAACCACAGAGCUGCGCAGGCACCAGGUCUGACGCCCCGUCUGGCCCUCUGCCCUCUGCCCUCCGCUGCUUCUGGAUUUCCGCGCACAGUGCAGCGUCUGAGACAGUGGCGAGAGGCCGCCAUCUUCUCGGAGGAGCAUUUGUUGCCAUCUGUUUUUAUCUCAAGGCUUAAAGCAAAGAAGGCAGAGCACGUGCCUCGUGCUGGUCCUGUGGCACCCGUCCCGCAUGCUCAGCUUUCAUCAGCAUCUUCUGGAAAGACGCGGCCCUGACUCCCUUAGCCAUGAUCUUGCCUGCUGUGAUUUCGGUUCCCACCAUCAACAGCAUUGCGUGGAAAACUGCAGAAAAGCACUGCACCCUCUCAAGUCAGCAUGAGAAGACAGAAGGGCGAGCAUCACACUGGAGGAUGUCUAAGGAAGUGAGCCUACAGAGGAUCUUCACAGCACAUUGGUGCAGAGCUUAUUGUUAUGAUUCUGUUUGUCAUCAGCUGUCGUAGUUAACUGCCCACUGUGUCUGAUGUGUAAAUUAAACUUUAUCACAGGGAGCGUGAAUGGCCUUUCGGCAGAGCUAAGGGUGACCACAGAUGGGCGUCAGGAGGCAGGCGACAGAGCAUGGGCCCUGGGGCCCCGUCAGCCCUCUGAGCGCGGCCGUGCAGCUCCCGGCUCCCAGGGGCCCGCCUCGGCCUGUGCCGAAGAACAGGCCUCUGCCACCAAGUGAGCUGUGUGACAGCAACCUCAUGACAGGGCCUCCUCUCUGCCAUCGCCGAGUACAGUGGGGAUGCAGGGCAGAGGGGAGCCGCCCGGGCCCUCCGCCUGCCUCACCGCACCCGGUUCUGAUCCUGCCGGGACCCUGGGGACCCAGCUGCGGAAGGGGACCCGCCACCCCGAGGACCAG